UACGAAGGGUGCUAGCGUUGUUCGGAAUCACUGGGCGUAAAGCGCGCGUAGGCGGCUUUUCAAGUCAGAGGUGAAAUCCCCAGGCUCAACCUGGGAACUGCCUUUGAAACUGUAAAGCUGGAGUGUCGGAGGGGAUAGCGGAAUUGCUAAUGUAGCGGUGAAAUGCGUAGAUAUUAGCAGGAACACCGGUGGCGAAGGCGGCUAUCUGGACGACAACUGACGCUGAGGCGCGAAAGCGUGGGGAUCAAACAGG
rnacentral:rRNA from 1 species